rnacentral:rRNA from 1 species
AGCAGCCGCCACGGUAAUACGUAGGGUGCGAGCGUUAAUCGGAAUUACUGGGCGUAAAGCGUGCGCAGGCGGUUCGUUAAGACAGAUGUGAAAUCCCCGGGCUUAACCUGGGAACUGCAUUUGUGACUGACGGGCUAGAGUAUGGCAGAGGGGGGUAGAAUUCCACGUGUAGCAGUGAAAUGCGUAGAGAUGUGGAGGAAUACCGAUGGCGAAGGCAGCCCCCUGGGCCAAUACUGACGCUCAUGCACGAAAGCGUGGGGAGCAAACAGGAUUAGAUACCCCAGUAGUCCCUGUCUCUUAUAA